rnacentral:lncRNA from 1 species
GGGAGUUUAAAUAAACUCUGCUUAUUGGAGAGGUGGCACCCUCUCCUUCCUCCUUGCUUCGGAAGCCUACAGCUGCCCUUUCCCUCAGGCCAGCUGGGCUUGUCCUUUCAACCAGGGUGAGAGGUGGAAGACUCCCAUUAUGCAUGGAUGAGGGCCCAACAGCUGGCCUUCCCCCCUACUGGCCAGCUGGGGCCCGUCACUUCAGUCCUUAGGCUUGAGGUGAGGGUUGCCAUCCAUGGGCCCAAUACGGCCCCAUUAAUGACAUGCCCCAAAUACCCUUAAACUGGGCCUCAAAAGUAUUGGGCCUAGUUAGUAUCGGGCCUGGACAUUACAUUCUUUCCCUCUUAAAUAAAUUUCGUCCUCGAAAUUAAUCAUACCUCAAUUCUUUGGUAUGCAAUGUAAUUCUCUAGAAAAUCUGACUGAAAUAAAGAAAUGUGUAUAGCCAGAAUCAAACGAAAUCCAUGGAAAAUCCUAAACCAUUGAGCUUAAAAGGUUGCUAUAUAGAAUUUCUUUGGAGGCUUAUCUCGUCN